CCUACGGGGGGCUGCAGUGAGGAAUCUUCCGCAAUGGGCGAAAGCCUGACGGAGCGACACCGCGUGAAGGAUGAAACCCUUUACUGGGCGUAAACUUCUGUUGUGAGGGACGAAAUUUUUGACGGUACCUCACGAGAAAGCACCGGCUAAUUCUGUGCCAGCAGCCGCGGUAAGACAGAAGGUGCAAACGUUACUCGGAAUUACUGGGCGUAAAGCGUCUGCAGGUUUCCUGCCACGUCUGGCGUCAAAACGCAGUGCUCAACACUGCGUCCGUGCCGGAAACGAGCGGGAUAGAGCCACUCAGAGGCAUCUGGAAUGUCGUGUGUAGGGGUAAAAUCCGUAGAUCCACGAUGGAACGCCAAAAGCGAAAGCAGGAUGCUGGGGGUGCGCUGACACUCAGAGACGAAAGCGUGGGGAGCAAACGGGAUUAGAUACCCUUGUAGUC
rnacentral:rRNA from 1 species